UAUUUAAAUAUAGUUAAUUAAUUUUUUUUGUUUUAAAUUUACGUUUUUAUAAAAAUAAUUUAGAUAUUUAUUGUUUAAGUAUUGAUUAAAAAAUAAUUAUUAGUUUUAUAGUUUAAUAGUAUUGUAAAAGAAAUUAUUUAUAUAAUUGUAAGAAUUUUGUUAGUACCUUUUGUAUCAGGGUUGAUUAAAAUUUUUAAUUUAUUUUAAUUUCUCAAAAUUUAUAGAGUUAAUUUUAUUAUUAAGUUAUUGUAUUAAAAAUAUUUAAAAAAUAAUUUUGGUUUUGAAAUUUAAUUCGUUAUAAUAUAUUUAGUUAUUUAAGAGUUAAAUUUAAUUUAAAAUUUUAAGAGUUUAAUUAAUUUUUUUUAUUAAUAUUUUAAAUUUAUAUUAUUUUAGGGAUAAGCUUGAAAUUUUUAUAUAACAAUUAUUUAUUUUAAUAAUUUAUAGGAAUAGAAAUUUUUAUUUAAAGUUUGUAAAAAUUUAUUAUUAAUUUAAGUUUAAUUUAUUAUAGUUUGUUUAUUUUUAUUAUUAAAUUUUAUAAUUUAAUUUUUUAAUUAUAGUAAUAAUGGUUAAAUUAGUAUAAUAUUGAUUUAUAAAUUAUGAAUUCGGCAAAUUUUAUUUUUAUCUGUUUAACAAAAACAUUGUAUUAAGUUUUAUUUAAUAUAGGAUCUGCUCAAUGAUUUAUUAAAUAGCUGCAGUAUUUUGACUGUGCAAAGGUAGCGUAGUAAUUAGUCUUUUAAUUGAGGACUUGAAUGAAAGAUUUGAUAAGAAAUAGACUUUAUUAUUUAUAUAAUUAGAAUUUUAUUUUUAAGUAAAAAAGCUUAAAUUUUUUAAAGUGACGAUAAGACCCUAUAAAACUUUAUAAUUAAUAGUAUUUAUUUUUUUUUGUUUUAUUUAAUAUUAAUUUGAAUUUUAUUAAUUAUUUAAUUGGGGUGAUAAAAAAAUUUCUUAAACUUUUUUUAAAACUAAACAUUAAUAAAUGAUUUUUUGAAUUAAAAAUUUUAAUUAAAGGAAAAAGUUACUUUAGGGAUAACAGCGUAAUUAAUUUUUUAAGUUCAAAUUUAAAAGUUAGU
rnacentral:rRNA from 1 species